UUAAAUCACUGUGGUAUCUAU
ensembl:piRNA 21ur-769 ncRNA